UACGUAGGGGACAAGCGUUGUCCGGAAUUAUUGGGCGUAAAGAGCGUGUAGGCGGCUUUACAGGUCCGUUGUGAAAACUCGAGGCUCAACCUCGAGACGCCGGUGGAAACCGUAAGGCUAGAGUCCGGAAGAGGAGAGUGGAAUUCCUGGUGUAGCGGUGAAAUGCGCAGAUAUCAGGAGGAACACCCGUGGCGAAAGCGGCUCUCUGGGACGGUACUGACGCUGAGACGCGAAAGCGUGGGGAGCAAACAGG
rnacentral:rRNA from 1 species